UACGGGGGGGGCAAGCGUUGUUCGGAAUUACUGGGCGUAAAGGGCUUGUAGGCGGCCAACUAAGUCCGACGUGAAAUCCCAAGGCUUAACCUUGGAACUGCGUCGGAUACUGGAUGGCUUGAAUUCGGGAGAGGGAUGCAGAAUUCCAGGUGUAGCGGUGAAAUGCGUAGAUAUCUGGAGGAAUACCGGUGGCGAAGGCGGCAUCCUGGACCGACAUUGACGCUGAGGAGCGAAAGCUAGGGGAGCAAACGGG
rnacentral:rRNA from 1 species